GCGGGAGUAACUAUGACUCU
rnacentral:ncRNA from 2 species